rnacentral:rRNA from 1 species
CGAAAUUCCUUGUCGGGCAAGUUCCGACCUGCACGAAUGGCAUAAUGAUGGCCACACUGUCUCCUCCUGAGACUCAGUGAAGUUGAAAUGUUUGUGAUGAUGCAAUCUCCCCGCGGCUAGACGGAAAGACCCCAUGAACCUUUACUGCAGCUUUGCAUUGGACUUUGAACCGAUCUGUGUAGGAUAGGUGGGAGGCAGUGAAGCUAGGACGCCAGUCUUAGCGGAGCCAACCUUGAAAUACCACCCUGAUUUGUUUGAGGUUCUAACCUAGGAGCGUAAUCCGCUUCGGGGACCGUGCAUGGUAGGCAGUUUGACUGGGGCGGUCUCCUCCUAAAGGGUAACGGAGGAGUGCGAAGGUACGCUAGGUACGGUCGGAAAUCGUGCUGAUAGUGCAAUGGCAAAAGCGUGCUUGACUGCGAGACCGACAAGUCGAGCAGAUACGAAAGUAGGUCAUAGUGAUCCGGUGGCUCUGCAUGGAAGGGCCAUCGCUCAACGGAUAAAAGGUACUCUGGGGAUAACAGGCUGAUACCGCCCAAGAGUUCAUAUCGACGGCGGUGUUUGGCACCUCGAUGUCGGCUCAUCUCAUCCUGGGGCUGUAGCCGGUCCCAAGGGUAUGGCUGUUCGCCAUUUAAAGAGGUACGUGAGCUGGGUUUAAAACGUCGUGAGACAGUUUUGUCCCUAUCUGCCGUGGGCGUUGGAAGAUUGACGGGGGCUGCUCCUAGUACGAGAGGACCGGAGUGGACUCACCUCUGGUGUACCGGUUGUCACGCCAGUGGCAUCGCCGGGUAGCUAUGUGGGGAAAGGAUAACCGCUGAAAGCAUCUAAGCGGGAAACCUGCCUGAAGAUAAGUCUUCCUGGAGGCUUUGACCUCCCUGAAGAGUCGUUCGAGACCAGGACGUUGAUAGGUUGGAUGUGCAAGCGCUGUGAGGCGUUGAGCUGACCAAUACUAAUUGCUCGUGAAGCUUGAUCCU